CUACUAGGGUAUCUAAUCCUGUUUGCUCCCCACGCUUUCGUGCAUGAGCGUCAGUAUUGGCCCAGGGGGCUGCCUUCGCCAUCGGUAUUCCUCCACAUCUCUACGCAUUUCACUGCUACACGUGGAAUUCUACCCCCCUCUGCCAUACUCUAGCCUGCCAGUCGCCAAUGCAGUUCCCAGGUUGAGCCCGGGGAUUUCACAUCGGUCUUAGCAAACCGCCUGCGCACGCUUUACGCCCAGUAAUUCCGAUUAACGCUUGCACCCUACGUAUUACCGCGGCUGCUGGCAC
rnacentral:rRNA from 1 species